AUUGAACGCUGGCGGCAUGCCUUACACAUGCAAGUCGAACGGCAGCGCGGGGCAACCUGGCGGCGAGUGGCGAACGGGUGAGUAAUAUAUCGGAACGUACCCUGGAGUGGGGAGUAACGUAGCGAAAGUUACGCUAAUACCGCAUACGAUCUAAGGAUGAAAGUAGGGGGAGUGCGCAAGCACCUCAUGCUCCUGGAGCGGCCGAUAUCUGAUUAGCUAGUGGUUGGGGUAAAGGGCCUACCAAGGCAUCGAUCAGUAGCUGGUCUGAGAGGACGACCAGCCACACUGGAACUGAGACACGGUCCAGACUCCUACGGGAGGCAGCAGUGGGGAAUUUUGGACAAUGGGCGAAAGCCUGAUCCAGCAAUGCCGCGUGAGUGAAGAAGG
rnacentral:rRNA from 1 species